CGUCCUGUAUCAUCACACCAAGACCAAUCAUCAGGCAUACAUUUCUAAACAUUGCAGACAAACCAAACAUAUAUAAUUUUUUCCCAUUUGGCUUGAGACCAGCCUUCAACCUUACAACACUUGGUCUUUAUUGUUUGACAUAAGGAGGGCAAGUGGCUUCAAAUGUCAAAGCUCAGUUUUUUAAUGAUCUAUGUACUGUACAACAUGCUUCCUCGACGCUCGUAAACAUGAUGAAAAACUCAAGGGAGACUGUGAAAGUACAGUACAUGACGCCCGCAUAGAAGUGUUUUUAAAACAUCAAGGAUAAAGAACAGGAAAACCACAUGAAGCCUACUGACAAAACAACCUUAAUUUUUUAAAAAAAAAACCUUUUAUAUGGGAAAUAUAAUUAAUGAUUUUGGGAAUCUCGCACGCUAAAUGAGUAUCAAACUCACGACUGCUUUUCAAGGUAAAAGAGACAAAUAACAGCAGUGUGAGAGAGCAAGCCGAGAGAAAAAAUAUUACUUCAAAUUGAACUAAAUGUUCUACUGACAAUGCAAUCCGAAAUUUUUUUAAAUAUCCU